UGCACAGCCGAUCGUCUUGCUCCCGCGCCUGCGCUCCACCCGCCUGGGUGAGAGGCUCCCACACCCACCUGUUCAAGACCCAGCUCAAGGCUGUGAGCUCCCUGGAGUCAGGGUCCGCAUUGUCCUUCAGAUCUCUUGCAAGGAGGAACUGGCACCUGAGGAGACAAUGGAAAAAUCUACCUUCCCUCGCCGAAGAGUGAUCUCGCUGCCUCAGGAUUGGGGCUGUGACCGCGGUCCGUCUGUCCUGGGUGUUAUGACAGGAGCCCUCAGCCCUGAUCCUGCGAUGUCACAGCUGCUCCGUGUUCUUUGUGGCCCACACAUCCAGAGGGGGCACCAGCCAGAGACUCCUGCUCUGUGAGCUUAGUCCCCAGGCUCUCCAGUCUUUGCUAAGCAUUUAAAAAACCCCCCAGGGAACUGAAAAAACCCUUGAAGCCCCAUGGAUGGGAGCCGGGCUUCAGUAUUUUUUUAAGACCGC